UUAUUAGAGGAUUACUUUUUGUUAUUUAUUUAUAUUUGUUAUUGUAUUAAAAAUAAUUAUAAGUUGAUUUGUUUUAGUAUUUUAUAUAGAAAAAAUAUUUUUAGUGAUAGUUUAUUAGUACUGUGAAGGAAUUUUGAAAUAUAUUGAAAAUUUUAAUGUUUUUAAAGAAAAUUUUAAUUAUUGUACCUUUUGUAUCAGGGUUGAUUAAUUAAUAAUUAUUGAUAUAAUUUUCUCGAUUUCAAAAGAGUUAAUAAUUUAUGGAAGUUAACGUUGAAUAGUUAUUUUUAAUAAAUUAUUGGAAAUGAAAAGUUAAUCGUUUUUGAAGGUAUCUAGUUUUUUAAGAAUUGAAUUUAAUUCAUUCUUAGUAGUUGAUUUUAUUUGUUUUUUAAAUUAAAAUUAUUACUAGGAAAAUAAUAAAAGGGAUAAGCUUUUUAUUAGAUUAAAAAUUAACAUUAAUUUAGUAUUAUUUUGUAGGCUUAGAAUUAGCCAUCAAUUGUAAUUAUGUUAUAAUUUAUUAUAUUUAUAAUAUUAUUUGUUGUAAAUUUUAUUUAAUUAUUAAAAUAUUUUAUUUAAUUUUAUUUUAUAAUUAAUAAUGAUUGAAUUAGUAUAUUUUUAUUGUUUAAAGUAUUUAUUGUUUUUUAGAUUAUUUUAAUUAACUCGGCAAAUAUUAUGUUCGCCUGUUUAUCAAAAACAUGUCUUUUUGAAUUAAAUAUAAAGUCUGACCUGCCCACUGAUAUUUAUUAAAUGGCCGCAGUAUUUUAACUGUGCAAAGGUAGCAUAAUCACUAGUCUUUUAAUUGAAGGCUUGUAUGAAUGGUUGGACGAAACAUAUUCUGUAUCAAAAUAACUUAUGGAAUUUUAUUUUUUAGUUAAAAAGCUAAAAUUUAUAUGAAAGACGAGAAGACCCUAUAGAUCUUUAUAUUUUUAUUUGUUUUAAAUAUUUAGGUAAUUUUAUUUGAGAUAAAUAAAUUUAUUUUGUUGGGGUGACAUUAAGAUUAGUUUAACUCUUAAUUUAUUUUUACAUUAAUUAUUGAAUAUUUCAUUGUUUGAUCCUUUAUUAUGGAUUAUAAAAUUAAGUUACCUUAGGGAUAACAGCGUAAUUUUUUUAGAGAGUUCUUAUCGAUAAAAAAGUUUGCGACCUCGAUGUUGGAUUAAGAUUAAUUUUGGGGGUAGAAUUUCAAUUAAUUAAGUCUGUUCGACUUUUAAUUUCUUACAUGAUCUGAGUUCAAACCGGCGUGAGCCAGGUUGGUUUCUAUCUUUAUUAUAUUAAAAUAUUUUAGUACGAAAGGACCAAAUAUUUGAAUUAUAUUUUUGUAUAAUGAAUUUUAUUAAUU
rnacentral:rRNA from 1 species